UCAAAUGCAGUGACAAGGAGGAGUACAUAGUUUCCGAUGCAAAGAGAGGAGAUGGCAGGUGUGAAUCUCCGUGAAGAAGUUAUGGAAGGUAGCCUUCGAGCAGUGGACUGAACGGCAGAGCGCCAAGUAGGCUCCAACGUGGUUCCCGCGUUACUGGGAAACGGUAUCGGAUGCAGAGGCAUUCCCGUACCGGCAGAGUGCAGAGAGGAUUCUCUGAAUUUAGGUGGUAACACGGAUGGUACAUUCGCCCUGAGC
rnacentral:ncRNA from 1 species